AUUUGAAAUCUGGCGCAAGCCCGAGUUGUAAUUUGUAGAGGAUGCUUCUGGGUAGCGGCCGGUCUAAGUUCCUUGGAACAGGACGCAAUAGAGGGUGAGAAUCCCGAAUGUGACUGGAUUGCACCCUCCACGGAGCUCCUUCGACGAGGAGAGUUGAUUGGUAGUGCAGCUCUAAGUGGGAGGUUAAUUUCUUCUAAAGCUAAAUACCGGCCAGAGACCGAUAGCGCACAAGUAGAGUGAUCGAAAGAUGAAAAGCACUUUGGAAAGAGAGUUAAAAAGCACGUGAAAUUGUUGAAAGACUUCUUCCCGCAACCAGGUUUUGCGGCAGGGUUCGGCCGUUCUUCUGACCGG
rnacentral:rRNA from 1 species